GAUAAACGCUAGCGGCAGGCCUAACACAUGCAAGUCGAGGGGUAACAGGAGUAGCAAUACUUGCUGACGACCGGCACACGGGUGAGUAACGCGUAUGCAACCUACCUCCAACAAGGGGAUAGCUUCGAGAAAUCGAAAUUAAUACCCUGUAAUAUAUUUGACGGCAUCGUUGAAUAUUGAAAGCUCCGGCGGUUGGUGAUGGGCAUGCGAGACAUUAGCUAGGUGGUGAGGUAACGGCUCACCAAGGCUACGAUGUCUAGGAGGUCUGAAAGGAUGAUCUCCCACACUGGUACUGAGACACGGACCAGACUCCUACGGGAGGCAGCAGUGAGGAAUAUUGGUCAAUGGGUGCAAACCUGAACCGGCCAUGCCGCGUGAAGGAUGAAGGCCCUACGGGUCGUAAACUUCUUUUGUACGGGAAUAAACCCGGAUACGCGUAUCCGGUUGAGGGUACUGUACGAAUAAGCAUCGGCUAACUCCGUGCCAGCAGCCGCCGUAA
rnacentral:rRNA from 1 species